UUUAAUUAAAGACUAGAAUAAAAGAUUUUUCAUUUAAAUCAAUUUCUUUUAUUUAAAUAUUAAAAUUAUUUUAAUUGUAAAAAAACAAUUAUAAAAAAAAAAGACGAUAAGACCCUAUUAAACUUUACUUAAGUUUAGCUGGGGUAGCUAAUUAAUUAUUACCUUAAUUAUAUAAAAUUUAAAAAAUUAAACCCAAUAUAACUGAAGCUUGAUUAAGUUACUAUAGGGAUAACAGUAUAAUAAAAUUUUUAAGCUCUUAUAUAAAAUUUAGAUUAUAACCUCGAUGUUGACUUAAAUUACCUAAUUUACGCAAUAGUGAAUAAAGGAAGUCUGUUCGACUUUUAAAUAAUUACAUGAUUUGAGUUCAGAUCGGUGUAAGCCAGAUCGGUUUCUAUCUUUUUCACAAUUCUUCUAGUACGAAAGGACCUAAGAAAAUUAUAAUAUAUUUACUUGGCAGAAAAAUGCAAUAGAAUUAGAAUCUAAAUAAACUUACAAUAAUAUUUUCUUUAAACUUUAUUCUAAUUACAAUCAGA
rnacentral:rRNA from 1 species